CAAAAGGGAAAUUAGAAUACUAUUACUUUGAAAAGGAGCAUUUCUGGGAAGGCCAUCCUUUUUCUACUUUGUUGAACAUGACCUCAGGAAACUGGUAACACCUUUACAUGAAUAUACAUUUGAUAAGAAAAUGAAGACUCAGAAGAAGGAAACCAAAAGUAUAUGUAAACUUUGCCAGAACCCAGGAUCUGUGCCAUGUCACCUUGCUUCCACAGCUUUCACAACUACUAGAGGAACUUUACAAGGACUUGCCUGUGGUCUUGCCUCCUGACUGGCCAUGCCAUCAACUACCAGCGACACCAGCAUAUAGCUAGAAGGAAGUCACUCGGUGGUGGUCAGAAUUAGGCAAUGUCAUUCAAGAGAAUUUCUUUUUCCCUGAUAUCCACCAACACAUUAAAACUGUUGUAUAAAAUUACAUCUGAUAAGCACUUUCUCAUGACUAGUAGCACACUGCAUCAUAUAUAUAUAUAUAUAUAUGAUAAUGCAUAAGAAUAUAAAUCCAAUUAAAUCCAGGCCUAAUCCCUAAAUCUUGCUUCCAUAGACCUAGU